rnacentral:lncRNA from 1 species
ACUUUAAAUUUUUAUCAAUUUAACUAUUCACAAAAAUAAAAAAAUUGAAUACUUUUAUUUCAUAAAAUUUGGGGUCUCACACUAAGGGUGUAAAUGAAUUUAGUAUAGCUGAUUUAGCUACUGAUUCGAGCUAAUUUCGCAUCUGUGGCUACUGUUUUGAGGUGGGGAAGGUGUGUAUACAACAACAUCCAGAAAUUCAUUCAGUUCCAACUCACAGUUAAUGUGGCAGCUCUAGUAAUCAAUUUUGUGGCAGCCGUUUCGGCUGGUGCAGUGCCUUUUGUCACAGUUAAUGUCCAGUUAUUGUGGGUAAAUCUCAUUAUGGACACACUGGGAGCUCUUGCUCUAGCCACUGAGCAGCCCACAAAAGAAGUAAUGGAUAAGAAUCCUGUGGGCCGUACCAAGCAACAUUAUGUAGAGGAACCUAACAGAUCAAGCCUUGUAUCAAAUAAUCGUCCUCUUGACCUUACAGUUUGGAGGUGAAUCAAUCUUCAAUGUAAACGAGAAGGUAAAAGAUACUUUGAUAUUCAAUACCUUUGUCCUUUGCCAGGUCUUCAAUGAAUUCAACGCACGGACGUUUUUGAGGAAAUUCAUAAGAACAAGUUGUUUCUAGGAAUUAUUGGGAUAACCAUCAUUCUUCAAGUUGUGAUGGUGGAAUUUCUGAAGAAGUUUGCAGAUACAGAGAGGUUCAGCUGGAGCAUGUAUUGGAAUUGCUUGUGCCUAUUGGUUUUCUGGUGAAGUACAUACCUGUUUCAGAGAAACCAUUUUUCAGCUAUCUCAAGUGGUACAACUUGAAGAACAGGAAAAAGCAUUAGAACAUGCAGAAGCAGUAGACAAAGUAUUAUUAGUUUCAGUAGAGGUAAUUGUUAAUCGUUCUUUUUUAAUAUUAAUUUAAAUUGAUGCAUGUAUAAAUCAAUUUACUCAUACGCUGCAUGCAUUAUAGUAGUAAUCAUAUGAAUAAAGUCAUCACCAGCAAUGGAAGCUCUAGUACAUUUUAAUAGCAGUAGUAGAACGGAGACAAUUCUCAACAUACAUGAAUUCUGGGUUCUGGCCAUCUAGAAUUAAGCUUUGAGGCAAUCAACUCGCUUUCAAAAUUUCAGAUACAACGGCAUGUUCGGAGAAGAUUAACAGUUUGUCCUCCUGAAUCUCCUUACUUCUCAUGUCCAAAUAAUGGAUACCUAUCAAUGAUGUCUCUGUAGGCUGCUAGUAAGAAACUUUGAAGAAAAAUGUUAAAUGGAGGGCAAUGACAAGAAUAACUAAUAGGUAUACAGCUUGAAGCAAAUUUUCUGAUGAAGAACAAUGUAGUGCUCCCUAAGAGAAUAUAUAUAUAUAUAUAUAUAUAUAUAUAUAGUACUAGCAGACCAAGUUGACAAGUACUCCCAUUGAUUGAGAACUGUACGCUAAAAGCUUUGAAGUAUUCAUUGAGCAAAAUUUAUCGAUUGCAUGUUUAAUCAGAAAGAUGAGGUGGUACAGAAUAAUACUCUCAACUAGUGAUUGGCAGUGCAAUCAGAGUUGUAGAAAAGAGGAGCAUCAUUCAUAAUAAGCAAGUGCACUUCUAGAAAAUUAGUAAUAGAAUGAAGGUUGGUUUUUGUAUAUGUUAAAAACUAAUUGCUACAACUAUUUCCCUCAUUCGAAAUGAUGCAUUCAUUCCGAAAAACAAUGGCAACUUUUAUAAAUCAUGAACCUAAUUAUUUCUACCUAGAUAGUACAGUACAUUAACUCACUCUAGGUGCCACCAGAACAUAGUACAAAACCUAAAAUCUUUCCUCAAUGUAUGCUUUCUCUAAUCCCCAAUUCACCAUAUACGCUUUGUACAUUGUUAAUUAUAACAAACAGAUGGCAUGCAACAUGAAAC